AUUGAACGCUGGCGGCAGGCCUAACACAUGCAAGUCGAACGAGCGGCGGACGGGUGAGUAAUGUCUGGGAAACUGCCCGAUGGAGGGGGAUAACUACUGGAAACGGUAGCUAAUACCGCAUACCAUCGGAUGUGCCCAGAUGGGAUUAGCUAGUAGGUGGGGUAACGGCUCACCUAGGCGACGAUCCCUAGCUGGUCUGCGAGGAUGACCAGCCACACUGGAACGGAGACACGGCCCAGACUCCGACGGGAGGCAGCAGUGGGGAAUAGUGCACAAUGGGCGCAAGCCUGAUGCAGCCAUGCCGCGUGUAUGAAGAAGGCCUUGGGGUUGUAAAGUACUUUCAGCGGGGAGGCGUUACUCGCAGAAGAAGCACCGGCUAACUCCGUGCCAGCAGCCGCGGUAAUUC
rnacentral:rRNA from 1 species